CGCACAUAUCAUAUUGAAACACAGGUUCUCGUACGAUCACCGAAAUUAAGCAAGGUCGAGCCUGGUCAAUACUUAGAUGGGUGACCGCUUGCGAAUACCAGGUACAGU